CAGCUCUCCGAGUAGUGUGGACGUUUAUUGGGCCUAAAGCAUCCGUAGCUUGCUAGAUAAGUCCUCUGUUAAAUCCACUGAUUCAAUCGUUGGAUUGCGGGGGAUACUGUUUGGCUAGGGGACGGGAGAGGUCGACGGUAUUUCCGGGGUAGGGGUGAAAUCCUAUAAUCCCGGGAGGACCACCAGUGGCGAAGGCUGUCGACUAGAACGCGCCCGACGGUGAGGGAUGAAAGCUGGGGGAGCGAUCCGGAUUAGAGACCCGAGUAGUCC
rnacentral:rRNA from 1 species